rnacentral:rRNA from 1 species
AUGGACGUCGUCCCCGCGGCGGCAUCUCGCAAUCUUUACCUGCUCGACCUCGUGAGUUCCGGCCCGAAGCUCAUCCAUCGUGGCCUCGUUCUCCCGGACGGCGAGGUGGACAACAUCUACCUCCCUGUCGACACGUUCCAGCUCUUACGAAUCGAUGACACUGUCGUGUAUAAGAACAUCGGCGACAUCACGGUGGUUGACAGGAGCCACCUGUACCCCGGACAGGUGGUCGGGUCGGCCUCCGACAUGGGCGGCCAAAUCGGCGUCGUCACCGGCGUCAACACCAUGCUCAACCUGGCCAAGCUCGACAACAAAGGCCUGCCAAUCAAGGUCAUCAGGGGAGUGUCCCCAUCUAGCCUGCGGCGCAUCAGGAGCCUCAACCUUGGCGACUUUGUCGUGUCCGGGCCGUGGCUCGGCCGCGUCGUGGAGGUGUCGAUCGACAUCGAUGUAUUGUUCGAUGACGGAGCCGUCUGCAGGGUCACCGAUGCGGAGUCCAAGAACCUGGUGGCGGUGUGUGAGAACCGCCACACCAGGCGUCGCUGCCAAAUGAACAGCAUAUUCCACCAGGGGCAGUCCGUCGGCGGGCCGGAAGCUUGUUCAAUCUUCAAGGCGGCACGGUGGCUUAAUGGCUAUUGGCAUCCUGAACAAGACCUAGGAACCAUCAUGAAGCUGGAGACGUCUGGCGUCCUCGUCUACUGGGUUGCAUCAAUGCAUUGUGGCACUGACAAGGAGCUACUGGAGGCAUCCGCUCCUCCGGCCUACCAGAAACCAGAUGAUCUAACAUUCUUCUGUGCCUCGUACAACUGCUGCUGGGGGCUUGCUGACCGCUGUUUUUUUUCUUGA